rnacentral:rRNA from 1 species
UACGGAGGGUGCAAGCGUUAUCCGGAUUUACUGGGUUUAAAGGGUGUGUAGGCGGGUCUUUAAGUCAGUGGUGAAAUCUCCGAGCUCAACUUGGAAACUGCCAUUGAUACUAUUGAUCUUGAAUUUUGUUGAGGUAGGCGGAAUAAGUCAUGUAGCGGUGAAAUGCAUAGAUAUGACUUAGAACACCAAUUGCGAAGGCAGCUUGCGUAAACAAAUAUUGACGCUGAGGCACGAAAGCGUGGGGAUCAAACAGG